UUCUAAAUCACCUGGACAUCUUAAAAUGCAGAUUCUGAUUCAGCAGGUUUGGGGUGGAGCCAGAGAUUUUGCAUUUCAAAUACGCUCCUAGGUGAGGCUUCU
rnacentral:pre_miRNA from 1 species